GAUGAACGCUGGCGGCGUGCCUAAUACAUGCAAGUCGAGCGAACGGACGAGAAGCUCUCUUCUCUGAUGUUAGCGGCGGACGGGUGAGUAACACGUGGAUAACCUACCUAUAAGACGGGGAUAAUUUCGGGAAACCGGAGCUAAUACUGGAUAAUAUUUUGUACCGCAUGGUUCAAAAGUGAAAGACGGUCUUGCUGACACUUAUAGAUGGAUCCGCGCUGCAUUAGCUAGUUGGUAAGGUAACGGCUUACCAAGGCAACGAUGCAUAGCCGACCUGAGAGGGUGAUCGGCCACACUGGAACUGAGACACGGUCCAGACUCCUACGGGAGGCGGCAGUAGGGAAUCUUCCGCAAUGGGCGAAAGCCUGACGGAGCAACACCGCGUGAGUGAUGAAGGUCUUCGGAUCGUAAAACUCUGUUAUUAGGGAAGAACAUAUGUGUAAGUAACUGUGCACAUCUUGACGGUACCUAAUCAGAAAGCCACGGCUAACUACGUG
rnacentral:rRNA from 1 species